AUUGAACGCUGGCGGCAGGCCUAACACAUGCAAGUCGAGCGGAUGAAGGGAGUUUGCUUCUGGAUUCAGCGGCGGACGGGCGAGUAAUGCCCACGAAUCUGCCUGGUAGUGGGGGAUAACGUCCGGAAACGGGCGCUAAUACCGCAUACGUUCUGAGGGUGAAAGUGGGGGAUCUUCGGACAACACUCCAUCAGAUGAACCUAGGUCGGAUUAGCUAGUUGGUGGGGUAAAGGCCUACCAAGGCGCAGAUCCGUAACUGGUCUGAGAGGAUGAUCAAUCACACUGGAACUGAGACACGGUCCAGACUCCUACGGGAGGCAGCAGUGGGGAAUAUUGGGCAGUGGGCGAAAGCCUGACCCAGCCAUGCCGCUUGUGUGAAGAAGGUCUUCGGUUUGUAAAGCACUUUAGGUGGGAAGGAAGGGCAGUAAGUUGAUACCUUGCUGUUUUGACGUUACCAACAGAAUAAGCACCGGCUAACUUCGUG
rnacentral:rRNA from 1 species